GCCUACGGGGGGCAGCAGUGAGGAAUAUUGGUCAAUGGGCGAGAGCCUGAACCAGCCAAGUCGCGUGAGGGAGUACUGCCCUAUGGGUUGUAAACCUCUUUUGUCGGGGAGCAAAAGCCGGACGUGUCCGGCUGUGAGAGUACCCGAAGAAAAAGCAUCGGCUAACUCCGUGCCAGCAGCCGCGGUAAUACGGAGGAUGCGAGCGUUAUCCGGAUUUAUUGGGUUUAAAGGGUGCGUAGGCGGGCUGUUAAGUCAGCGGUAAAAGCCCGGGGCUCAACCCCGGCGAGCCGUUGAAACAGGCUGUC
rnacentral:rRNA from 1 species